rnacentral:rRNA from 1 species
AUUGAACGCUGGCGGCAUGCCUUACACAUGCAAGUCGAACGGCAGCACGGGUGCUUGCACCUGGUGGCGAGCGGCGAACGGGUGAGUAAUACAUCGGAACGUACCUUAUCGUGGGGGAUAACGCAGCGAAAGUUGCGCUAAUACCGCAUACGCCCUGAGGGGGAAAGCGGGGGACCGUAAGGCCUCGCGCGAUUAGAGCGGCCGAUGUCUGAUUAGCUUGUUGGUGAGGUAAAAGCUCACCAAGGCGAUGAUCAGUAGCUGGUCUGAGAGGACGAUCAGCCACACUGGGACUGAGACACGGCCCAGACUACUACGGGAGGCAGCAGUGGGGAAUUUUGGACAAUGGGGGCAACCCUGAUCCAGCAAUGCCGCGUGAGUGAAGAAGGCCUUCGGGUUGUAAAGCUCUUUUGUCAGGGAAGAAACAGCAGCUCUAACACAGUCUGCGAAUGACGGUACCUGAAGAAUAAGCACCGGCUAACUACGUGACAGCAGCCGCCGUAA